UCCAAUGUGGUGUAGUGGCUAACAUUGCUGUCUUUCAUGUCCGGUGGCACGAAUCAGCACAGCAGCCCGGGGUUCGAUUCCCCGCAUUGGAA